UCAACCCCUAAGGGGGUAAAACGGGGGUUGGAAGUUUGUAUGAAAGUUCUAUGUUUUUGAAGUAAGAUACUUGAAAUUUAAAAUGUAUGCUCUACAGAUGGUGAGAAGGUGUCUAAAUAAUGUAUCUUUAGAAAUCCACUCCCUUUUGGGGCUAAAACGGGUGAUGGUAGGUUGACUCACUCAUCACGGAAUCUCCGAAACUAUAACAGCCACAAACUUAAAGUUUGCAGGUAGGUUCCUUAUAGGGCGUAAACAUCUACUAAGAACUGAUUUUAUGAAACUCGACCCCUAAGGGGUUAAAAGUGGGGUUGAAAGUUUGUAUGAAAGUCCUAUGUUUUUGAAGUAAGAGACUUGAAAUUUAAAAGGUAUGCUCUAUAGAUAGCGAGAAGGUGUUCGAAUAAUGUAUCUUUAAAAAUGAACACCCUUUUGGGGUUAAAACGGGGUUGGUAGGUUGACUCACUC
rnacentral:misc_RNA from 1 species